rnacentral:lncRNA from 1 species
AGAAAUGCUUACUACUAUUGCAAGAUAUUGUUCUCAGAUAUUCCGUAGACUUUCUACAUACAAAACAGAGAGUUGCCUUUCAGCAC